GCUGGGUGUGGUGGCGCAUGCUUGUAAUCCCAUGGCUCAGGAAGCUGAGGCAGGAGGAUCACAAGUUCAAAGUCAGCCUCAGCAACUCAGCGAGACCAUAUCUCUU
rnacentral:sRNA from 1 species